AAACAUAGGGGGCAAGCGUUGUCCGGAAUCACUGGGCGUAAAGGGCGCGUAGGCGGUCUGUUAAGUCGGAUGUGAAAUGUAAGGGCUCAACCCUUAACGUGCAUCUGAUACUGGCAGACUUGAGUGCGGAAGAGGCAAGUGGAAUUCCUAGUGUAGCGGUGAAAUGCGUAGAGAUAUGGAGGAACACCAGUGGCGAAGGCGGCUUCCUGGUCUGUAACUGACACUGAGGCGCGAAAGCGUGGGGAGC
rnacentral:rRNA from 1 species